CACCAUUUGUGGAGUAUGUCCAGAUACGUUGGCUGUGCAGACGCCACUUUGCCAUUUGGAACAUCCAGCUGAGACCUGAAUCCAGAAGAUCCUUACUUGUAGGCAGCAGCCUUAUCAACAGAACAUCCUGAGCUGCCUCCUCUGAGGCUCUGACCUCGGAUCCACUAUGGAUCUCACUGGAGAAAGCAACAGACCAGGAGGGUGAAGAGAAACAAGAGAUGAAGAAGGUGCAAAUUGCCAACACUGACAAAGUCUUUCUCCUCAUCCUCACUCUGAUCUGAAGAAAGCUCAUAAACAUCCACCACUACAGUAAAGGACAACUUUGGAACUGAGGAUGGUCCUGAAACAGGAGGAAGGAGCUGGCCCCACAGACCUGCGGAGUACUGGAUUCAGAGAAAUACUCGGCUCUGCACCUCUGGUCUUCAAAGGGGAAGACAGAACUGACUUGGAUUUCAGAGACAGAACUGCAGAGGCCAUGUCAGAAUUGGACAGAUCCAAAUAGUCUGAUAUCUGGCACUGUUAACAGGGGCCGUCUUCUCCAGAACAGAUACAUUUGGCGCCGACGUGGCUCUAAGUUUCUUAAGCAGUUAGCCUUUUUUUCCCACGAACAGUGCCUCUGAAGCUUAACAGCUUUAAUAGAAGGAGCCAGCACCGACAAAGAUCCCAGUCUUGGAACCAUUAGACCGCCUAGAAGUACCUGCAGUCUGUUCUGUUUCUCCUGGUAGGCUCUGGGCAUGACAGAGCACUCUGGCAAAUAGAACUCCCAGGAGUGUGGCCUUACCCCAUGCACCUAAGGCAUCUAAAAUGGUUGUCUGAUGCCAGGAAGACAGAUGGGCACAAAGCACAUCUCUGAAAACCCAGCCUCCUCUUUGGUUCUGCCAAUACACAGAACCCACCUUACAAGCUAGACUGAACUCUCUAGAUUUAAAAACUACCUUGUACUAAAAAGAAUUCUAAAGUCAGAAUAUUUGGAAUCGCUUGAGGGAGGAGUAGGAAGGGGUACAUGUGCACUCUAAUGGGCAAUACUAGGUAGCACCAGGUGACAUGUUACCAUAAGUGUGACUAUGCAGAGCCACUAAUAGAAGAAGCUCCGACACUUUAAACUGAAAUGCUCUGGCCCAAAGCAGAGGUCUGGCAUGCCACACACAGCCCAAGCAUGUUUACAACAGAGUUAGAAACGCUAGGGGAGGGAAUACCCAAUACAUUUAGCACAGCAGUGAUAUGGGACUAGCCUGUGUGGAUAUCAGCAUACCCACAGACAUCUUCUUGUCACUCUGUUCAAAGCAUAACAACUUCUGGUGGCAACAAUGCUUUAGGAUUCCAGCAUCAUUCUUUUCAAUGCAGGUUUGUAAGAGACAGACACUUAGUGAUGUGGGCAUAUGGACCUUUAAAAAAGCAGCUCCCCUUAUGACAGCUGGGCAAAGAUUUCAAAAAUUCCUGGCCAAUGUUUGAAUACAAAACAGUGAAUUUAUAUCCCCUUUUUGCCAACAAAAUGGUGUUCCUAAAAAUGUUUAUGAAAAGGAAACAAAAAAGUGAUGCAAGCACUCGUGCAAAUACAUAAAUACUGCACAAGUACUAGCUCCAGAAGUGU